rnacentral:rRNA from 1 species
AGUGGCGGACGGGUGAGUAACGCGUGGGUAACCUGCCUCACACUGGGGGACAACAGUUAGAAAUGACUGCUAAUACCGCAUAAGCGCACAGGACCGCAUGGUCCGGUGUGAAAAACUCCGGUGGUGUGAGAUGGACCCGCGUUUGAUUAGCUAGUUGGUGGGGUAACGGCCUACCAAGGCGACGAUCAAUAGCCGACCUGAGAGGGUGAACGGCCACAUUGGGACUGAGACACGGCCCAGACUCCUACGGGAGGCAGCAGUGGGGAAUAUUGCACAAUGGGGGAAACCCUGAUGCAGCGACGCCGCGUGAAGGAAGAAGUAUCUCGGUAUGUAAACUUCUAUCAGCAGGGAAGAUAGUGACGGUACCUGACUAAGAAGCCCCGGCUAACUACGUGCCAGCAGCCGCGGUAAUACGUAGGGGGCAAGCGUUAUCCGGAUUUACUGGGUGUAAAGGGAGCGUAGACGGUGUGGCAAGUCUGAUGUGAAAGGCAUGGGCUCAACCUGUGGACUGCAUUGGAAACUGUCAUACUUGAGUGCCGGAGGGGUAAGCGGAAUUCCUAGUGUAGCGGUGAAAUGCGUAGAUAUUAGGAGGAACACCAGUGGCGAAGGCGGCUUACUGGACGGUAACUGACGUUGAGGCUCGAAAGCGUGGGGAGCAAACAGG